rnacentral:piRNA from 2 species
CAGUGAUGGACUAUGAUGAGGGUGAG